GAUGAAGACGUAGCGAAAUGCGAUAAGUAAUGUGAAUUGCAGAAUUCAGUGAAUCAUCGAAUCUUUGAACGCACCUUGCGCCCUUUGGCCAUUCCGAAGGGCAUGCCUGUUUGAGUAUCAUGAACACCUCAACUCUUUAUGGUUUUCCAUGAUGAGCUUGGACUCUGGGGGUUUUGCUGGCUCACAGUCGGCUCCUCUAAAAUGAAUCAGCUUACCAGUGUUUGGUGGGUAUCAUGGGUGUGAUAACUAUCUACGCUUGUGGUUUUUCCACCAGGUAACCUUCAGCAGUGGAGGUUCGCUGGAGCUCAUAGAUGUCUCUCCUCAGUGAGGACAGCCCUUUGAAUGUUUGAUCUCAAAUCAGGUAGGACUACCCGCUGAACUUAAGCAUAUCAAUAAGCGGAGGA
rnacentral:misc_RNA from 1 species